UAUUAAUAUUGCUAGAAUAUGAUAAAGUAGUUUAGCCAAAUGCUUUGUCCAAAAAAAUUUGAAGGGCAAUUAAUCCUUCUAUUCUCAAACAUUUAGCUAAUACCCUAAAUCUAAAUUGAAUUUUAUUUAAAAUCUUUAUGUACAAUAUGAUUUGAUGCAGGCAUAGAUCAUGGAUAAUUCAGCCUUCAGAAACUUAGCUGAUUUGGAGAUGGGGUCUUCAUUUCAUUACGAAUCUUUCGAGCAACCAUUUGUAUACGAUGAUGAUCGGCCACUGAAGCAGCUCAGAACGAGCUACCACGUCCCAAGUGCUCUUCAGUUUGACGCUAUCCCAACUUAUUAUGACCACAAACUGGUCAGCAUGAUGAAGCCUAAAGAGGAAGAAGAGUUCGUCGUGUCUGAGCCAGUAGCUCGUUUGUCAUCUACGCACCAUUCUUUAGCGGAGAGGAAGAGGAGAGAGAAGCUCAGCCAGAGGUUUGUAGCCUUGUCUGCUCUGAUCCCUGGACUGAAGAAGAUGGACAAGACUUCUAUUUUGGGAGAUGCGAUUGUGCAUAUGAAGGGUUUGGAGGAGAGAGUGAAGGGGUUGGAGGAGAGAGCUAGGAAGAGAAGCAUUGAACCAGUGGUGUUUAAUAUCAAGAAAGAGGAAGGCGGCGACGACGACGAUUUUCCACUGAUUAGGGCAAGGUUUUGUGAUAAAGAGCUGCUGGUUAGUGUUCACUGCCGGAGAGGGAGAGGUGUGUUUGAGAAAAUUGUUGGUGAAGUUGAGAAUAUGCAGUUUUGUGUUGUUAACAGCAGCCUUAUGAGUUAUGGGGAUUCUUGUCUGAGUAUAACGCUUAUUGCUGAGUGGCUCAUUAAGUGGUCAUUUAGGAAUGAGUUGGUCGUGAUCAACGAGGACGAAGAGUCAAUUCAGAGUGGUGCUCCGGGGGAGGAGCCAACCUUGACUAGUGAAGACAUUGACCCUUUGGAAUCGAUUGUUACGAACUAUGACCAAUGAGAUGUUUCCCCUAAGGUGGGUCGAAAACGGACUUCAGGAGCCAAUUCGGAGUGGUGGCAUCGGAAAUGAAUCAACCGUGACCAACGAGGUGUUGGCCCCUAAGACAGAAGGAGGACGAAAAAGACAACAUGAACAUUGAGAAGCUUGUGGAGAAUUUACGAGGUCUUCUCAAAAUGAUCUUGUGAAAUAUUAAUGCAUUCCUUGAAUUCAUAAUAUCCUUUUUUUUCCUUUUCAAAGACCAAGCAACAUAUUGCAUAAAUAUAUAGUAAUAGUAGAUCCCUUCAUAAUCUUUGCUUUGCUUUUGUAUCUACAAACAAUGAUGUACAUCUCAUUGAUGUACAGCUCAUAAUCUUUGCUUUGGCUUAUAGUUGAAAUUUUCAACUAA